rnacentral:rRNA from 1 species
AUUGAACGCUGGCGGCAGGCCUAACACAUGCAAGUCGAACGAGUGGCGGACGGGUGAGUAAUGUCUGGGAAACUGCCUGAUGGAGGGGGAUAACUACUGGAAACGGUAGCUAAUACCGCAUACCCUCGGAUGUGCCCAGAUGGGAUUAGCUCGUCGGUGGGGGAAAGGCUAACCUAGGCGACGAUCCCUAGCUGGUCUGCGAGGAUGACCAGCCACACUGGAACGGGGACACGGGCCAGACUCCUACGGGAGGCAGCAGUGGGGAAUAUUGCACAAGGGGCGCAAGCCUGAUGCAGCCAUGCCGCGUGUAUGAAGAAGGCCGUCGGGUUGUAAAGUACUUUCAGCGGGGAGGCGUUACCCGCAGAAGAAGCACCGGCUAACUCCGUGCCAGCCGCCGCGGUAAUUC